rnacentral:rRNA from 1 species
UGUAAGCGUAUACCAAAGUUGUUGCAGUUAAAACGCUCGUAGUCGGAAUUUGGCAGUUCCGGAUGUGUGCAUGUCGUGUGCGCACUUCGCGGGGAUUGCUUUUGUGGUCUUGCGUAGGAUGAGGCACUUUUAUUAGUGAACGUCCUCACGCAACCACUUUUUACUGUGAGAAAAUCAGAGUGCUCAAAGCAGGCAUUUGCCGUGAAUGUAUUAGCAUGGAAUAAUAGAAUAGGACUUGGUUCUAUUUUGUUGGUUUGUUGGGACUGAGUAAUGAUUAAGAGGGACAGUUGGGGGCAUUUGUAUUUCGGUGCUAGAGGUGAAAUUCUUAGAUUACCGAAAGACAAACUGCUGCGAAAGCGUCUGCCAAGGAUGUUUUCAUUGA